rnacentral:rRNA from 1 species
GACGAACGCUGGCGGCGUGCUUAACACAUGCAAGUCGAACGGAAAGGCCCUGCUUUUGUGGGGUGCUCGAGUGGCGAACGGGUGAGGAACACGUGAGUAACCUGCCCUUGACUUUGGGAUAACUUCAGGAAACUAGGGCUAAUACCGGAUAGGAGCUCCUGCUGCAUGGUGGGGGUUGGAAAGUUUCGGCGGUUGGGGAUGGACUCGCGGCUUAUCAGCUUGUUGGUGGGGUAGUGGCUUACCAAGGCUUUGACGGGUAGCCGGCCUGAGAGAGUGACCGGCCACAUUGGGACUGAGAUACGGCCCAGACUCCUACGGGAGGCAGCAGUGGGGAAUAUUGCACAAUGGGCGGAAGCCUGAUGCAGCAACGCCGCGUGCGGGAUGACGUCCUUCGGGUUGUAAACCGCUUUCGCCUGUGACGAAGCGUGAGUGACGGUAAUGGGUAAAGAAGCACCGGCUAACUACGUG